rnacentral:rRNA from 1 species
AGCGAACGCUGGCGGCGCGCCUAAUACAUGCAAGUCGAGCGAGAAGACGUAGCAAUACGUUUGUAAAGCGGCGAACGGGUGAGGAAUACAUGGGUAACCUACCCUCGAGUGGGGAAUAACUAGCCGAAGGUUAGCUAAUACCGCGUACGCUCCUUGGACUUCGGUUCAGGGAGGAAAGCGAUACCGUGGGUAUCGCGCUCUUGGAUGGGCUCAUGUCCUAUCAGCUUGUUGGNGAGGUAACGGCUCACCAAGGCUUCGACGGGUAGCUGGUCUGAGAGGACGAUCAGCCACACUGGCACUGCGACACGGGCCAGACUCCUACGGGAGGCAGCAGUAAGGAAUAUUGCGCAAUGGGCGAAAGCCUGACGCAGCGACGCCGCGUGGGGGAGUGAAGGUCUUCGG